AAAAACAUAGCAGGAAUGAGUGGUUCCGUAUAAACGGAACUGAAAAGGGAAGUCAGUGCGAAUCUGACGCGGUCCCGCCACUGUGAAAGGGAGCGACCUCAAUUUAGCCACUGGGUUAAUCCGGGAAGGCUGAGGGAGCGAUGAUCUUAAGCCAGGAGACCUGCUCAUUCCGUUGGUGACCU
rnacentral:ncRNA from 2 species